AUGCGUGACGACGUCGGCAUAGCAACAGCGCGUCAGCGCGCCUGCGCCUGUGCUCGUUGCCCGAGCGGCGCCAGCCGUGCCGUCAUCACCCCGCGCCCCGAGGAAGAGGCGGCCGUGCCGAAGUCGAGCUGCUCUCCGCACUGCUGCAGCGCCGCCGGGCAACCCCGGGGCUCCGAGCGCCGCCUCCGCUUCUGCAAGUGGCUGUUCUGGGGGAGGCCUGAAGGGGUCCCCUCCGCGGGCGCCGCGAGCCGCCCUGCGUUGGCCCCGCGGGGCCUCUGUGGCACUCAGGGCUUCUGUUGGACGGCGGGAUGUUCCCUGUGCCUCCUCCCCUCCCAGGGAGAGAAAGAGGCGUCGUUAUUUGAGAGAACGGGCCGUGGUGGAGAUGUUACACGACCCCACGUUUAUUCCUCAGAAUUCUGAUCCAAAUUCCAGUCCAAACCAAGGCCAUGAUCCUGAGAGAGUCAGGCGUACACCAAGUAUGUGGCAUAUGUGCACAAGGUCUGCACCAGGUGAGUAUGGCGGUACAUGAGCAGCAACGUCUGGCAGAGGG
rnacentral:lncRNA from 1 species